GAGAUAAGACUGAUGGGCUGCAAAGAAGGACGUCCUUACCCAGGUCGACAAGCGCUCACUUCAUAUGAUAAAGAAGAUCUUCGGCUGCGAGGUCACACAUGAAGGUCGACGAUUCCUCGUCGUGGAUGGUGGAGAAGAAAGAUCUUGCUCGCUGGAGGAGCCUAUAUUCCAAGGGAAACAGCUAGAGAGCUGAGCUAAUGGCUAUAAAAUUAUAGCUGGGACUGGAGUGUGCUAUUAGCCUGGAUAUCUCAAGAUUGGUAGUGGAAUCUAAUGCUAAGAAGCAGAUAAAUUUUGAACAGAUCCCCUGGGGUCCUUUUAAACUGUUUUAUGUAUAAUUUAAGUCUAUCUGAUAAAUUUCCUGAAUACAAAUUCAUUCAUGUAUUUUGUGAGGCUAAUUGUAGUGCUCACUGAUUAGCAAAUUUUACUACAACUACUAAAACUUCAAUGAUAUGGGGGCAAGAUUGGGCCCCCAGGUCUUGGUGUAUUUUGUGCUCCAAGGGGCAUGGUUUAUCAUAAGAGGUUGUUAAAAGUAAAAUGAUUUUAUCCUUUUGAAAAAAAAUGAAAUAGGAGAUCUUGGAAUAAAGAAGCUGGGUGUAGCCAAUUACCCAUAUAACUGACUUUUUUUCUCUAUAUGUGUCUCAUUUUAUUCUCUUGUUUAUCCAAAGGUAUUCGCUAAUGCUUAAUUUCUUGUCAUCCUAUUUGUUGUGACCAAAAUCAGUGUUAACUUCUACUUUCUAAUUGAAAAAUCUGAUUCAUCUCCCUGUUAGGUUGCCCUCAAUCUACAAAAUUAGUUGCAUAGUCAAAACAACCUUCUUUCACUAGCAAAAAACAUAAAUAAUAGCAUUUUGUUAUCAUCUGAAGGUGAAAGUCUAAAUUAUCCAACAAGCAACUACAUGAAGAUAUGUCAACUUCUCACAUUUGAGUAAAUAAGUAUCCAAAACCAAAGGAGGAUCAUUUCCCUGCAGCUAGACCUUGAAACUUAUGAUUUUACAAUAAUUAUUCAUCUUCAGUGUGUGUGAAUUAGAUAACCUAUUAGGACAAACAAACGAGAGACACUAUUAAAUCAGCCAAUAAUUAUGACAGUGACAUAACAAGAGCAGGGUAUAUGUACUAAAGGCUUGGGUCAAUAUUCACCCACCAGGCAAUUAACCAACUUGCACUAAUAUCUGCACUAAAAACGCACCCUCAUAAACAAAUAGUCAUGAUAUGGUAAAAUUUGCCAACACCACCAAUGCCCAAUAAACAUCACCUAGAGUAUAUACGCAUUUUCCAAAUCAUAAGAGCAUGCAGAAUAUGUUCUGAAAUGUAUUAACAAUAAAACAUGAUAAUAUCAGAAACUCAAAGGUCUAAUCUAGCAUUAGAAAAUAGAAACCCUAUGUAUUAAACAGCUUCAAUGUUUCUUUGUAUCAUUUUAAAGAAAGCUUUUAACAUUUUUUACUAGUAAAUGUACUGUAUGCAGAGGAUAUUGCAUCAGGUACCUCAUCCUUGCCCAUGCAUGGAACACUAGUGAUAACAUCACCAGUAGCAGGAUUUUGUACCUGAAGGGUCAUGCCGUCGUAGGCAUCGAUCCACUUGCCGCCGACAAACCCCUGGGACCUCAACAGUCCCGAUUUCCUCAAUCGAUC